CAGUCGCGGUAAUACGAAGGGUGCAAGCGUUACUCGGAAUUACUGGGCGUAAAGCGUGCGUAGGUGGUGGUUUAAGUCCGUUGUGAAAGCCCUGGGCUCAACCUGGGAAUUGCAGUGGAUACUGGGACACUAGAGUGUGGUAGAGGAUAGUGGAAUUUCCGGUGUAGCAGUGAAAUGCGUAGAGAUCGGAAGGAACAUCUGUGGCGAAGGCGACUAUCUGGGCCAACACUGACACUGAGGCACGAAAGCGUGGGGAGCAAACAGGAUUAGAUACCCCUGUAGUCCCUGUCUCUUAUACACA
rnacentral:rRNA from 1 species